rnacentral:rRNA from 1 species
UACGAAGGGGGGCUAGCGUUGCUCGGAAUGACUGGGCGUAAAGGGCGCGUAGGCGGCUCAUACAGUCAGAUGUGAAAUUCCUGGGCUUAACCUGGGGGGCUGCAUUUGAUACGUGUGGGCUUGAGUGGGGAAGAGGGUCGUGGAAUUCCCAGUGUAGAGGUGAAAUUCGUAGAUAUUGGGAAGAACACCGGUGGGCGAAGGCGGCGACCUGGUCCUUGACUGACGCUGAGGCGCGAAAGCGUGGGGAGCAAACAGG